GGCACUGUUCCUGCUGACCUUAAACAUGCCACUGUAAUACCUAUCCUGAAAAAAUCAUCUCUUGACCCAUCCUCCCCUUCUAACUAUCGUCCCAUAUCCCUGCUCCCUUUCUCAUCAAAGCUUUUGGAAAGGCUUGUCUUUACCCACUUCCUUAAUUCCAACUCUCUCCUUGACCCUCUUCAGUCUGGCUUCCGCCCUCUCCACUCUACUGAGACUGCUCUUAUCAAAGUGACUAAUGACCUAAUCUCCGCUAAAUCCAAAGGUCAUUACUCCAUAUUAAUUCUCCUUGACUUCUCUGCUGCCUUUGAC